UAAAUUGUUUGAUCUAGUCUUAGAACCCACAAGUUACAACUGCUUGGAUAAACCUUUUUUAAUAAAGCUAACCCUAGGCCUUGGGAUGAAAGUAUGGAAAAUAUUUUGGAUUCUGGACAGCUCAGACAAAAUAUUCCAGGAGUCUGUGUGAAGUAGGCCCGGCAACUUAUGAUUCAAAUAACUUUUUGUGCUUUGCAUGAUUUCUGGUGGCCCUCUUGAGUAACUUUUUAUACACCCAGACUGGUGGCCCCUAGCAAUAGCAUAAUAUACAGCAAUCGUAAAAGUUAAUGGAUCACAGGUUAAAU
rnacentral:lncRNA from 1 species